AUGGAUUUGUUUCUGCCACUCGUCUCAUUGAUUUUGAUUGCCGGAGGACAAUGUAGCCAGCAUGCUUGUUUUGCCGAUGCGGCCAAGAUGCCCCUGACAAACAUGCAGACACUCACGGCGUAUUGGGAGGCCGCGCUUCCAGGAAUUCCCAUUCCCCCGGCUAUCAGUGACCUGUUAGCCCAACAAAAAGGGCAGCAAAAAAUUGGACCGAACUAUGAAAUAGUCAACUCAGAGGGUGGUCACGGGGACAACCAUGUUCAUAUCAUAUCACAGGUUAAAGAUGAUUUAAAAGAGGCAUAUGGGUCUCAUGGUGAAGAAAGUAGAAAGAAUGUCAUGAUGGCACUUGAACCAAAAAUUGGUAAGGAUCUGAAGGGACAACCAUUGUCACAUGGGUUACAAGCUAAAAAUUAUGUAGAAGAAAAAAUUGCUGCGUGUAGAACAAAAAUCGAAGAAAAUCUAAAGGAAAUAUCAGUGCCAUAUGGGUCAGAAAUUGACAACAAUAUUAAGAAAGUUUCAUUAAAUUUGAAGAAGAUCCUUGCAGCGUAUACACCAUUCAAAGAUGAAAACCUUAAGGAAAUAUCAGUGUCAUAUGGAUCAAAAGUUGGUGAAGCCCACGAAGAAGUUUCAGGGUCAUAUGGGUUAGAAAGUGAAAAUAAUUUAAAAGAAAUAUCUCUUUCUUAUGGUAUAAAUAGCGAUGAUACUCCACUGGAAGAAUCAGCACAUGAAGAAAAUGUAAAGGAAAUCUCAGUGUCAUAUGGGUUAGAAGGUCCAAAUAGUUUAAAGAAAGUUCCACUAAAUUUGAAGAAGAUCCUUGCAGCCUACACACCUUGGAAAUUUGGAAAUCUAAAGGAAAUAUCUGUAUCAUAUGGAUAUGGAUCAAAAGGCCAAGAGAUUUCAAAGGAAGCAUCAGGAAUAUCUGGGUUAAAAGGUGAAAAAGAUUUAAAAGAAAUCUCAGUUUCUUAUGGUGUUGAUGACCGUGAAAAACUGAAGGAAAUAUCUGUGGCAUACGGAUCGAAAGAUCAAGAAACUCUGAAGGAACCCUCAGGAACAUAUGAGUUAGAAGGUAAAAAGGAGUUAACAGAAAUCUCAGUGUCUUAUGGUGCAGACGGCCGUGAAAAUCUAAAGGAAAUAUCCGCAACAUAUGGAUCAAAGGACCAAGAAAUUCGCAAAGAAGCAUCAGGAUCCUAUGGGUUAAAAGGUGAAAGGGGUUUAAAAGAAAUCUCAGUGUCUUAUGGUGUAGACGGCCAGGAGAUUCUAAGGGAAGGCUCCACAUCACACGAAGAAAAUUCAAAGGAAGUCACUAUGUCAUAUGGGUCAGUCGAAGAGAAAGAUGAACAACCCCACAUUUUGAACCAAGUAAAAGGAGAGGGGAGCCACCAUGUUCACGCUCACAGCUACAGGAAGAAGAAAGAGGCAGAUGUCUUUCUUCCACGACAUGUUGAGGCCAGGGUCCUUGAUCACUCCGACCAUCCCGCCGACCACCUCCAUGCCGGCGCUUCUCUCCGGCAAUGUCGCCGACUCCAUCCCAUUCACCACCGAGCACCUCUCCGACAUCAUCACGAUGUUCGCACCGGCGUCCCUCACGAUGACCCGAGAGAUACGGUGGACGCUGGACACCUGCGAGCACCCACGGACGCUCCCCGGCCAGAAAGCAGGCUGCGCCACCUCCCUCGAGUCCCUCGCCGAGAUGCCGGCGUCCCUCCUUGGCCGGCGCAACGUCCACGCGUUCUCCGCCGUGGAUCUGCCCAUGGAUGCCCCGGGGACACCUGCGCUUAG
rnacentral:rRNA from 1 species